rnacentral:rRNA from 1 species
UCGAGAAUAUUCGACAAUGGGCGAAAGCCUGAUCGAGCGACGCCGCGUGCAGGAAGAAGGAUUUCGGUCCGUAAACUGCUUUUCUGCGGGAAAAAGUUAUUGAUGGUACCGUAGGAAUAAGGGGCUGCAAACUUCGUGCCAGCAGCCGCGGUAAUACGAAGGCCCCGAGCGUUAUCCGGAUUUAUUGGGCGUAAAGAGCGCGUAGGCGGCAUGGUGCAUCUCCGGCUAAAUCCCAGAGCUUAACUUUGGAACUCCCGGAGAGAUGACCAAGCUAGAGGGUGUGAGAGGUCUGUGGAACUCACGGUGUAGGGGUGAAAUCCGUUGAUAUCGUGGGGAACACCGAAGGCGAAGGCAACAGACUGGCACAUUCCUGACGCUCAUAGCGCGAAAGCGUGGGGAUCAAAAAGG